rnacentral:rRNA from 1 species
AUCCUGGCUCAGGACGAACGCUGACGGCGCGCUUCACACAUGCAAGUCGAACGCUCGCACCCCGUGUGCUUUCCCCUUUCGGGGGGUUGGUGGGGUGUGGGAGUGGCGGACGGGUGAGUAACACGUGAGUAACCUGCCCUGGGCGUGGGGAUAACCCUGGGAAACCGGGGCUAAUACCGGAUGGCUCGCAUCUCUCGCAUGGGGGGUGUGGGAAAGGUUCUCUCCUGUGAGGGGGGGUUCCGGCCUGGGAGGGGCUCGCGGCCCAUCAGCUUGUUGGUGCGGUGAGGGCGUACCAAGGCGAUGACGGGUAGCCGGCCUGAGAGGGUGAUCGGCCACACUGGGACUGAGACACGGCCCAGACUCCUACGGGAGGCAGCAGUGGGGAAUUUUGCGCAAUGGGCGGAAGCCUGACGCAGCGACGCCGUGUGGGGGAGGACGGCCUUCGGGUUGUAAACCCCUUUCGGCCCUGACGAAUGGACGGUAG